CGGGGUGUAGCGCAGCCUGGUUAGCGCACCAGUUUUGGGAACUGGGGGUCGUUGGUUCAAAUCCAAUCACCCCGACCA
rnacentral:tRNA from 4 species